GAUGAACGCUGGCGGCGUGCCUAAUACAUGCAAGUCGAACGGAAAGGCCUCUUCGGAGGUACUCGAGUGGCGGACGGCUGAGUAACGCGUAGGAACGUACCCCAAACUGAGGGAUAACUGCUCGAAAGAGUAGCUAAUACCGCAUGUGCUCUACGGAGUAAAGCUUCGGCGGUUUGGGAACGGCCUGCGUAAGAUUAGCAAGUUGGUGAGGUAAUGGCUCACCAAGGCGACGAUCUUUAGCUGGUCUGAGAGGAUGAUCAGCCAGACUGGGACUGAGACACGGCCCAGACUACUACGGGAGGCAGCAGUAGGGAAUUUUCCACAAUGGACGAAAGUCUGAUGGAGCAACGCCGCGUGCAGGAUGAAUGCCUUCGGGUUGUAAACUGCUUUUAUAUGUGAAGAUUAUGACGGUAGCAUAUGAAUAAGGAUCGGCUAACUCCGUGCCAGCCGCCGCCGUAAAAC
rnacentral:rRNA from 1 species